CACUGAUGGGCCGGGCUUAGGCCUGAAUUCUAGGCCCGAUGGCCGGGUCGGGCCGGGCUCGAACCUAGGUUUUCUGCUUCGGGCGGACCGGGCCCAAGCCUGGCCCGGCCCAACGGAUGGCUAGGUAUACCAUGGACUACUUGAUGCUCAAAUGGAGCCCACGGGCAAGUCUCUCGCAUGUACUAGUGGGCUGGGCUUUUCUUUUGCGUGAAAGGGACCGGGUUGCCCUAGGUUUAAGUUAUUUUUUUGUGGGUAGGGUUAAAUUUUUUAGUUUUUUUCUGCCAUGUGCUUGCACUUAACUAGAGUGACUAGCCUCGAAAGCGGACGUUUGGCUCUCGGGUGUAUAUGGACCGGAUAUAGAAAAUUGAUUUAGUAAUUGCAAAAAAAGUUAAUAAAUUCUAUUUUUUUGGAACAAACUUGACCUUCUAUUAUACUAGUAAACAAUAAAAAUGUUAGGAUACCGUUUUGCAUGAAAAACUAAUACCAAGCAUGCCUCAAAACGUUGAGGAUUUCCUUGAACUCGCGUCCAAGAGGCCGUUGCCAAGAAAAGGAGGAUGCUAAAUCUUUGGAAACCAAUUAAUUCCAGCUAAAAAUAUAUCAAAAGGAGGUAUCUAUUGUCUUUACGUAAAUGUGUCCUUAAAUAUCAAUUAAUACAUUAAGUCCUGCCAAAACAUCGGGCGUAUAUCCACACGAUGAUACAUUAAUUCAACGCCAAAGGUUUGAUUUCUGUCCCUCUAUAUAAACGACUAUGCAAGGGCCAAAGCUUACGACAUCCUUAAGCACACAAGGAAGAAAGAAGCGAUUCUUUGUCGAUCUCUUUGUCAUGGCAGCCCAGAGCAACGCUACCAGGAAGGCUGUGAUUUUCGUGGUUCUUAUGAUCAUGGCUUCCACCCUAUCGUCAUCGUCUUGCUACGCUCGCACAAUUGAAGAUGGAGCGAAUCUUCCAUGCUUCCAUCAGGAAAA